rnacentral:rRNA from 1 species
GAUGAACGCUGGCGGCGUGCCUAAUACAUGCAAGUCGAGCGAACGGACGAGAAUCUUGCUUCUCUGAUGUUAGCGGCGGACGGGUGAGUAACACGUGGAUAACCUACCUAUAAGACUGGGAUAACUUCGGGAAACCGGAGCUAAUACCGGAUAAUAUUUUGAACCGCAUUGUUCAAAAGUGAAAGACGGUCUUUCUGUCACUUAUAGAUGUAUCCUCGCUGCAUUAGCUAGUUGGUAAGGUAACGGCUUACCAAGGCAACGAUGCAUAGCCGACAUGAGAGGGUGAUCGGCAAAACUGGAACUGAGACACGGACAAGAGUACUACGGGAGGCAGCAGAAGGGAAUAUGCGGAAAGGGGCGAAAGCAGGACGGAGCAAAGCCGCGUGAGUGAUGAAGGUCUUAGGAUCGUAAAAAUCUGUUAUGAGGGAAGAAAAUAUGUGUAAGAAACUGUGCACAGAGUGACGGUAACUAAUAAGAAAGCAACGGCUAACUACGUG